rnacentral:rRNA from 1 species
AUACGGAGGGUGCAAGCGUUGUCCGGAUUUAUUGGGUUUAAAGGGUGCGUAGGUGGUUUUUUAAGUCAGUGGUGAAAGCCUACAGCUUAACUGUAGAGGUGCCAUUGAUACUGGGGAACUUGAGUAUGGACGAGGUAGGCGGAAUUUGUGGUGUAGCGGUGAAAUGCAUAGAUACCACAAGGAACACCGAUAGCGAAGGCAGCUUACUGGGCCAUAACUGACACUGAGGCACGAAAGCGUGGGGAGCGAACAGGAUUAGAAACCCUUGUAGUCC